UUCCCAUCCCGAACACAGAAGUGAAACAGCUCAGCGCCGAUGAUAGUGUGGGAGUUCCCAUGUGAAAGUAGGUCACUGCCAGGC
rnacentral:rRNA from 1 species